AUUGAACGCUGGCGGCAGGCCUAACACAUGCAAGUCGAACGAGUGGCGGACGGGUGAGUAAUGUCUGGGAAACUGCCUGCUGGAGGGCGAUAACUACUGGAAACGGUAGCUAAUACCGCAUACCAUCAGAUGUGCCCAGAUGGGUAUAGCUGGUUGGUGGGGUAACGGCUCACCAAGGCGACGAUCCCUAGCUUGUCUGAGAGGAUGACGAGUAACACUGGACGUGAGACGCGGAGCCGAAGCCUACGUGAGACACCAGUCGGGCAUAUUGCACAAGGAGCGCAAGCGUGAUGCAGCCAUGCCGCGUGUAUGAAGAGGGGCAUCGGGGUGUAAAGUACUAUCAGCGGGGGGGCGUUACCCGCAGAAGAAGCACCGGCUAACUCCGUGCCAGCAGCCGCGGUAAUAC
rnacentral:rRNA from 1 species